rnacentral:rRNA from 1 species
GACGAACGCUGGCGGCGUGCUUAACACAUGCAAGUCGAACGGAAAGGCCCUGCUUUUAUGGGGUGCUCGAGUGGCGAACGGGUGAGUAACACGUGAGUAACCUGCCCUUGACUUUGGGAUAACUUCAGGAAACUGGGGCUAAUACCGGAUAGGAGCUCCUGCUGCAUGGUGGGGGUUGGAAAGUUUCGGCGGUUGGGGAUGGACUCGCGGCUUAUCAGCUUGUUGGUGGGGUAGUGGCUUACCAAGGCUUUGACGGGUAGCCGGCCUGAGAGGGUGACCGGCCACAUUGGGACUGAGAUACGGCCCAGACUCCUACGGGAGGCAGCAGUGGGGAAUAUUGCACAAUGGGCGGAAGCCUGAUGCAGCAACGCCGCGUGCGGGAUGAAGGCCUUCGGGUUGUAAACCGCUUUCGCCUGUGACGAAGCGUGAGUGACGGUAAUGGGUAAAGAAGCACCGGCUAACUACGUG